rnacentral:ncRNA from 1 species
AAACUCUGGAGAGACCCAUUGCGGGCGCCGAAGGGGCAAGGCUUAUGCUCAAUCUCUCAGGCAAAAGGACAGGGAU